CACCUAUUCAACAGCAGAGGACAGCAUCCUCCGUGAUCAUCACCGCAACCAUCAACGUCAGAAUGAUAAUGACAACAAUCACCCAUCUCACUCUCACCAUUACCACCGCAAGCAAAACCAUCAUCGUGUUUCUAUUUCAGACACUUCCUCAACUUCCUCAACUGGUUCCUAUUCAUCCUCUUCUUCUUCCUCUUUAUCAACACCCUCCUCCUCUUCUUCUUCUACCGCCUCUUCUUUUUCUUCCUCUUCUGCAACAUCUACCUCUUCUUCUAGCCUGUCCUCUGACAGCAGCAGUGAGAGUUUAGAUAGAUAUUCUCUUAGGAAGCCCCGGCAUUCACGGUCUUGUACUGACAUUUCUGGAAAACAGAAAUACUUGGAAGAAGGAGAAGACACAGCCCCGCUGAUACAUAAAAGAGCAAGCAGGUCAUCUGCCAAAGAGAAACAAGUGAAAGGAAAGGCCUCUCACAGUGGCGCAACCCUGGGAUCAACCUUGAAGAGCACAAAGAGGAUUACGAGAGGCGCGGGAAAUGAUGGAAGUUUCCGCAAAGCCAAAUCAAUGGAGGCUCUCAGCACACCCAAAGAAGUGCAUGGAAAUGAGGACGAAGUGGAGCAGGAGAGGAGGAAAACUGAAGCCAAGAAGAAUUUAAUGAAAGAAAAAAUGAAAUUUUCUACCUUCCUUAAUGAGAUCACUCGGCAGGUACUCAGCCCAAUGAGACUCACCACUCUUGGUGUUACAGAUGUUCAAAGACCCUGUAGUCCAGGGCAGACCUCUCUUAGAUCCAGGACGGCAGACAGCUGCACUGAGAAACCCAGACAGCUGCGAAGUCGGCCUACCAGUGUAGACUCAAUUAACUCCAGCCGGCACUCCCGUACAAGCAACCGUUCCCACUCUGCUCGGCUUUCUCACUCAAGAAGUUUCCACCAUCACAAUCGGCAUACUUCAGAAUCACCCCAUCACAUGUAUCACAGGCCUAAAAGUUGCAAUGACAUCAGCUGUUUACAUAGACGUCACUCAUCUUCUCAAACUUCUCAGCAUUGCUCCCAGUCACCUUCCUGUAAUCACUGCCACCACCAUCACCAAGGAGACCACCGCACCUCUGGUCACCAUCAUCGUCACCUUGAAGACAGCAACAGCCCAAGUCAUCACCAUCACCACAGGGAUCACCAUACACCAAGUCAUCACCAUCUCCACAGACACCACCACAGUCCUGUCUAUCAACAAGGAGAUCACUUUGGAGGCCACCACAACACACCACAUCAUCAUAACUACGGAGACCAUCAUCACAGAGACUGCUACAGCCCAACUCAUCACCAUGGUGAACACCACAGUUCAACUCAGCAUCAUCACCAUGGAGACCACCAUGGUCAUGCUCAUCACCAUCACCACAGAGACAACCAUGGCCAUGCUCAUCACUGUCACCAUGGAGACCACCAUAAUCCAACUCAUCAUCAAGAUGGUUACCACGCUACACCACAUCACCAUGGAAAUAACCAGAGUUCAGGUCACCACCACGGUAGCAACCCAAAUUCAUGCCCUACAACACCACAUCACCAUGGUCACCACACCCUAACCAGUGAUAACGGAGAUCACCCUAGCCCAAAACAUCUGCAUCACCAUGUAGACCACCACAGUGAACCUCAUCUGCAUCACCAUGUAGACCACCACAGUGAACCUCAUCAGCAUCACCAUGGAGACCACCAAAGUCCAGGCCAACACCAUCCCCAAGAAGACCACCAUACCGAAGCUCAUCAGCAUAACCAUGGUGACCACCGUAAUGAAUCUCAUCGUCAUGGAGACCACCACAAUGAAUCUCACCAUCACCAUGGAGACCAACAUGCUGAGGCUCAUGAGCAUCACCAUGGAGAUCACCAUAGUGAAUCUCAUCAGCAUCACUAUGGAGACCACCACAGUCCAGGUUAUCAGCAUCACCAUGGAGACCACCAUGGAGACCACCACAGUGACGCUCAUGAACAUCACCAUGGAGACCACUAUAGUCCUGCCCAUCACCAUCACCAUAGUGACCACCACAGCAAAACUAAUGAACAUCACCAUGGAGACCACCACAGUCCUGGCCAUCACCAUCACCAUGGUGACCACCACAGCAAAGCUAAUGAACAUCACCAUAGUGACCACCACAGCAAAGCUAAUGAACAUCACCAUAGUGACCACCAGAGCAAAGCUAAUGAACAUCACCAUAGUGACCACCACAUCAAAGCUAAUGAACAUCACCAUAGUGACCACCACAUCAAAGCUAAUGAACAUCACCAUAGUGACAACCACAGCAAAGCUAAUGAACAUCUCCAUGGAGACCACCACAGUCCUGGCCAUCACCAUCACCAUGGAGACCACCACAGUCCUGGCCAUCACCAUCACCAUGGAGACCACCACAGUUCAGUCCAUUUGCAUCACCAUGGAGACCAUCACAGUUCAGGCCAUCUGCAUCACCAUGGAGAAAAUGUUAAUACAAGUCAUCACCAUGGACAUCACCCUGAAUCACAUCUCAACCAAUCCCACUCCAAAGAUAAUCUUCUUGACCAUGAUAGCCUCGAUGACCACCACACUCAUUUAAAGGGGCAUUCUGCUGGCAGUUCACCAUCACACAGGCAGCGAGAGUCACUUCACAGAAAGCCGGAUUCCCCCAGGAACACUAGCAGCCCCUCCAGUCAGGAUGAGGAGCGGACAAGCUUCCUCAGCCCAUCAUCACAUAAAGAUAAAGCACAUGAGCUGGGUAGAAUCAUGAUACUACAGGAGCAAAAUGAAGGUCUGCACCAAAGUUUGCUGAAGACAGCAGUGAGGAUGGAGUGUCUAGGAGAGGAAUUCAUGAGCAGCCAAAAGCUGUUGGAGGCAGAACUUCAGAGGACACGCUUGGAGCUCAGCAACCUCACAGAGAGGUUUAAAAGACUACAUGAUAACUACUCCUCCACACAACAGACCAAUAAUCUUCUAGAGCAAAAGCUUCACUCAGUGGCUCAGAAUAUGGAAGGAGAACGCGAGAGAUUGAACCAGCGUAUUUCAGAGCUGACUAAGCAGCUCUCUGCUACAAAAUUUGCCAACGACAUGGAUGCAUUCAAUGUAACAUCAGUGCCACCUGAAACCAACCUUCCUUUUCAACCAGAUGAUGCCAUUGAUCAGAUGGUUCUCCCCAUCGCUCCCCCUCCGGCUGAGUUCAUGGACAGCCAUAACUGUGGAAAGGCCAAAGCCACCGGACAGGAGCAACUUCUGGGUUCGGUUCCAGAGGAGGAGGAAUCUGACUGGUCAGAGAUGGGAGAGGAGACUCCACGGUUAAUACUAACCGGAUCAAGUAGAGGUCAAACAUGGAGACACCAGGAAGGAGACCUGGACAAAGACAAAUCUGUCUGAUAGCUUGAAGGGAGAGGGAAGUUACAGGAUCACAACAAGUCCAAGCCUUGGGUCUGCCAUCCUGAUCCGGUCAGCCAGCCUGGAGGAAAUCCCUCUGGCACGGAAUCACAUGCAGAAAGAGCUGAGAGGCACAGAGGCCAUGAUGAACCUGCACCACCCAGGAGACGACGCUAUCGAGGAUUUAGAUAAUGAGAUCAUUCAUCACUGGAGAACGAGCAACAACAGGGACAGCAGGGCUUCAGAGUCAGACAACAGCCUGGCCAGCCUGCAGUCAGCCGAGCAGAUGCUCAACCACUUCAUGUGUGAUCCUCAGUCCAGUGAAGGAAGAGAGGAAGGCAGGGCUGAGGUGCACGGAUGGACAGGAGGGCUUCCAGAUGAGGUGUUGAAAGAUGAGCGAACAAAGCUGUGACAGCAACAUGAAUGCAGUUUACUGUGUCUGAAAGCAUAAUUUAAGUUGAUCUUUAUUCAUUGUGGAAGGCUAAUUAAAGCUGUUUUCAAUUGCUCAUUGGUUCUGCUCUGCUACCAUGUGCUUGAGGGGACUUAAAAAUUAAACCAUAAUUUACUGUAUUUACUUUGAUAUCCUGACAUUAACACCUUUCAAACAACGCAGUGCGCUCCCUAUACUAAUUUAACCAAUGAUAUGUGAUUAUUAUAGCAGACACAUGCUUAGAGUAAUUGGAGGCAGAUGAAUUAAAUAUAUAUGUACUUUUAAACACACCUUAGAUUUGUUCAUUUAAUGCUAAAAUGUGUAUUUCUGUUGUAUAGAUGCAUAUAUAAGUAGAUAUAGUUCCUGUUUUCUCAUCUGAGGAAAAUACAAAAAAAUUAUUUGUUUGUGUUGCUGCGAGAGGCAUUAUUAAUUCAUGUAAGUUGUACUUUUCCUUAAGUAGCCACAGUUAUGCACACCAAAUGCAUUAUCUGAUGCUUUAAAUUGUAAGUGCUCUAAAAAUGUAAAUGUAACUAAAUAUAUAUUUUUUUCCUGUCAGUUGAUGUUCCUGUUGUAAAAAGUAUAUAUAGUAGACAUAUAUAACAUAAAGCAUACUUACAGAUACAGUUCUAAAAUAAAUUUGUCUAUAUACAAAAGCAUUAUCUUAUAUUAUGUAAGUCUUUUCCCUCUUGUUGCAAUAAUUUGGCAAACCAAAUGUGUACAACUAAACAAAUGCAUGUAAAUCUGUCCAUAUAACAGCUAAUAAACCAACAUAAGAAACAGUG
ensembl:lncRNA